rnacentral:lncRNA from 1 species
GUUAGAUUAGUAUAAAUAGGGAUAGAUAGUUUCAUUUGUAAUCAAUUCCAUUGUACAAAAUUCUCAGUUUAUAUAUUCAAGUUAUUCGAUUGUCUAGAGAUCAAAGAUCCAUUAGGGCCAACACUAAUCUCAUCUCAUGAAUGCGAAUUUUAAUAUCUGAGUCAAUGUUGCAGUUCAAGCGUCAUGCGUUUAUGUUGGUUCUUCAACUCAUAUUCGUCAGUACAGAGGAGACGAGAUGA